GUCCAGACUCCUACGGGAGGCAGCAUGGGGGAAUAUUGCACAAUGGGCGAAAGCCUGAUGCAGCAACGCCGCGUGAGGGAUGAAGGCCUUCGGGUUGUAAACCUCUUUCGGCAGGGACGAAGCGAUCAGUGACGGUACCUGCAGAAGAAGCCCCGGCUAACUACG
rnacentral:rRNA from 1 species